UCUUCGCGUCCCGCCCGCAGCCGCCACCGGCUCCGCGUCCCGAGCGCAGCAGCCGCCGCCUCCGCAUCCCGUGCGUAGCCGCCGCCGCCUCCGAGUCCCACGCUCAACUGUGUCCCCGUCUCCGCGUCCCGCGCGCAGCCGCCGCCA
rnacentral:sRNA from 1 species